UCCACACUGUUAUCAAAUAACACUUGCAGUGGGAUAUAAAACGUUGUUGGAUCUGAUUACGACCAGACAUGCCCAAGAGUCAGUAUGUCAUGUGACAAUUGAACCUCAAUGAUGCUAUUCCCUUCCCCUAUCAGCUGACAUGGCUGUUACUGCUGGCCCACUUGGGUUCCUCGUCAUGUUGGUUUUGGCACCCAGGACCAGGCUGCCCAUCCUCCUGUGGAGCAUCUUGACCCUGGAGAUAUUGGCCACUGCUAGAGCCCAGGAUGGCCAGGCUUGACCGUUCCUGGUCUAAACAGGGGUGAUGGGCCAGGGCAGGAAUGGUGUUAGUUAAAUGUCCUUCCAUCAGCUGUUUCCACAUCAGGAAACCACUCUGAUGAUGAGAGGUCUAAAGUAAAUGUGUUUUCAGUUCUGUGUGUUUGAGAGGAUGCUUUACGGUCAGUUUGUAAGGGUGUUCUUGCUCUGCUUUAGCAUCGGUAACUCUGGUUCUACUCGCCCAAUUGAUCAGACAUAGGCUUCAAGCCCUGUAAACCUGAGAUCCUGUUUAAAAAGCCUUCCUGAAAUCAUUCUCCCUCCUCGCCUCCACUUUUUAAGAUGCUCCUUAAAACUUGCUGUGACUAAACAGUUCAUCGCCCAUACCUAAACCAAGCCCGAGAUGGCAGUUUAAUGAGGGAACGGGGUCAUGGGGGAGCGGGUGUCUCUUGGGGAGCAGUGAGGGACUGUCAGCCCCUUUACUGAUUUUGCUGCAGUCAGGUUAAUUGUAGGUGGUCAUUAACUGGGUUCACUUUUUUUUGUUGUGGAUUAUCCUUCACCCUUCUGCAGCAAAAGAUUGGCUUUUCAGGCAGUUAGCUUUUACUUUUCAAUGACCACUUGGAUGGCAACCAUCAAACUGGAUAUACAUAUGAUUGGUAAAAUGACAAUCAAUAUGUUUGAAUUGAUUCUAAGAACGUUCACGAUGACUUUGGUGAUUUUAAAAACUACUCACAGCUUUGGCCACACAUUGCCCCAUGUACUGAUUGUAUGCCUCGCAAAAAUAGAGGCUCCAGUUGGCAUCUCCUUGGGUCCAUUUGGCAGAUACAGACUGACAGCGAGGACAGAGCAAGACACUAUACAGCAACACUCACCCUGCCCUGCUCUGUCACCUUUUUUGUUGCAGGAUCUCGGAUCGUGGAGGUGGGAUUCCUCACCAGAUCAUUGACAAAGUGACAGAUUAUCACUUCACCACGGCCGAGGAGAGCUCGCAGGAUUCCGCAAUGAACUCUUUUUACGGACACACGGUGAACAGCGGGCCCCACUCUGGGCCAAUGCACGGGUUUGGCUUUGGCCUGCCUACCUCCCGUGCUUACGCCGAGUACCUGGGUGGAUCACUCUCCAUUCAGUCCAUGCAGGGCAUUGGGACCGAUGUUUACCUGCAGCUCAAGCACAUCGAUGGGAAGGAAGAAAGUUUCCGCAUCUAGGUCAGGAGCCAGUCCAGCUUAACCUUCUUCUGUAGAGAUGAUCGCUAGGUGGUUAUAUCGCACUAACCCCAUGGCUCCAAACACAACUCGACAUGAACCACAAUAACUUUGAAGACCUGCUUUUGGAUAAGGACUAAAACCAUCCGAGAAGGUUGUCUUGGCUUCACAGAGUGAAGGAGCUCUGAUCUGACUUACUGAAUGAAAGGGCUGCUGGAAAAUAUUGCCAUGACAAGCAGUUAUUUGACUUGACUUGCGUGAACGUGGAAAACAGACUCCUGUUUAACUGACCUGAUGCUAACAUUGGUGGCUACCAGCGAUCAUUUUGGUCAGCAGUGCCCUCUGCUGGUGUGUGUCUGCAUUUUCCUUCCAGCAAGGGACAAAUGGUUAACUGCCAAUGACAAGCAGAAAAAAUCCCAACCCACACUCUCUUUUUAACUCUUUGGAUGUAGAGACACAUUUAUUUACCACAGUUUAAAUUCAGAAAUCAUUGUACUAUGCUUGUAUUAAUCUUUUCUAAGACUUGAUGGUAACUGUUUCUGAAUUUGACAAUCAGAGGUUACCCAUUUUCCUAUUGAAGUUGCAGGUUGUGCUGCAUGCUGGAGGUUUGAUACAUUAAUACCAACCCUAUAUGUAUUGAGGGGAAAAUACAGUUUUCAUUCCAGAUCAAACACCAUUCAUUUAAUUUGUUAUAAAAACUGAAAUUUCAGUAUUUUUAGAUACUGGUGCUACUUAUUUAAUUUGAAGCUGCAGCACUCUAAUCAGAAUUACAGGGUGUUUGUGCAGUCCCUGCAGGAAUUAUCUGCUCAAAGGGAGUUUGAAGCAAUCUGUUCACACGUCUGAUGUCACAGCACAGCAGUAACCCAGAUGUUAUUACAGAUUCAAGAUGUGGGAAUUCAUUUUUGUAAACAGUGUACGCUGCUGGUGCAAUGGUUUAGCCUUGCAAGCCUCCUUUUGGUUAAAGCUGCCUUAUUUUCACUAUUUACAGCUCAGAUCCUGUUGUCAGUUUACCUUGUUAUUCCUUUUUUGAGCUUUAUGUUGAUGUUAGGUCCAUGCAUUGUCACCAGUUCCUCACAGGUUUUGUUCUUCCUCCUCUGGAGUGCGCCCAAGUGUCUGGUUCCCCUUUUUGAGUCCUGGUUGCCCCAUUACUGAACAGGCCUUUAACUGUUCUGUUGGGAAUUUUUAAAGCUACUGGGAGCUGUGAAGCAUCCAGGUUGCAAGUACAAAACAAUGUCAUAAUGUCGAAUUGCCCAUAGACCUGUUUUAUCUUUCUCUUGGGGUUGAAUAACGAUGACCCUUUAAAAACCAAAAAUACACCGUUUUAAAGAGUUUUCCUCCCAGCAGAUGGAGAAAGUUGAUUCACUUGGUCAGAAUUGUUUUUUUAAAUGAAUCAUUUUUCUUUCAGUGACCUGUUCCCUUCUAUAUAUAAUUUUAAAAAAUUGUCCACUCUGAAGAUUUCUACCCCCCCCCCAAAUGGGUUGAAAUACUUGAUUCCUGAUUGUGACAAAUUUAUAAUAAUUUGCAUUUGAUGUUCAGAAGGAGGUUAAAAAAAUAGUAGAAAUAUGUUCACUAGCCUUCGUGCUGUUUUAAUAACAUGCUGACUUUGAGUUAAAUGUUCCACAUUAUAGGUCCAGGAAAAAUCCAAAAUGCUGACAAAGUAAUUAUCUUUUGAAGUUUAAGGAAAAGCAACUGCCUAUGUAUUUAUGGUAUUGAAUAUAAUGAAUAAUUAUCAAUAAAUUGUCACAGAAAAGGAAAGUCUAUGAUGCUACAGAAGUCUCAAAUUAUGGCUUUAUUUUAAUUUUUAGCCCGUCUCUUGAUACAGUUAUCUGCCAUCAGGAAAUGUCACAAAAAGGCUGUAAUUAAUAAAGUUUGAGAAAUAAAAAGCACAAAUUCUAAUGUA